rnacentral:lncRNA from 1 species
GUGAGACCAAGGGGCUGAUGUCUGCCUGACCCACCACUUCUAUAGCAAUGGCAAAGCCAAUCACCACUUGCCAAGUGCAGCGUCUGCUGGACUGGGUCCAAACUCCAACAGAGCUUGGGCACUGCUAACUCAGAAGGCAGAAGGACUCACCCAUGUCCUCGCGCAGCCAGUAAGUGGCCAAGUUAGGAGAAGCUAACAGAGGAGGUGCCACAUGAGAGACAGAUAAGGAUUGGC